GAUGAACGCUGGCGGCGUGCUUAACACAUGCAAGUCGAACGGUGAAGCCCAGCUUGCUGGGUGGAUUCGUGGCGAAAGGGUGAGUAUAACGUGAGUAUCAUGUGCUUAACUCUGUGAUAUGACUGGGAAACUGGGUCUAAUAUAGGAUAGGAGCGCUUACCGCACGGUGGGUGUUGGAAAGAUUUAUCGGUUUUGGAUGGACUCGCGGCUUAUCUGCUUGUUGGUGUGGUAGUGGCUCACCAAGGCGCCGACGGGUAGCCGGCCUGAGAGGGUGACCGGCCACACUGGGACUGAGACACGGCCCAGACUCCUACGGGAGGCAGCAGUGGGGAAUAUUGCACAAUGGGCGAAAGCCUGAUGCAGCAACGCCGCGUGAGGGAUGACGGCCUUCGGGUUGUAAACCGCUUUCGGUAGGGAAGAAGCGAGAGUGACGGUACCUGCAAAAGAAGCACCGGCUAACUACGUG
rnacentral:rRNA from 1 species